rnacentral:tRNA from 1 species
UCCCCAGUGGCUUUGAUGGUAAAGCAUCUGUCUGCAUUGCGGGAGACCCAGGUUUGAUCCCUGGGUUGGGAA